rnacentral:rRNA from 1 species
UACAGAGGUGGCAAGCGUUGUUCGGAAUUACUGGGCGUAAAGGGCGCGUAGGCGGCCUUCUAAGUCAGACGUGAAAUCCCCCGGCUUAACCUGGGAACUGCGUCGGAUACUGGAUGGCUUGAAUUCGGGAGAGGGAUGCAGAAUUCCAGGUGUAGCGGUGAAAUGCGUAGAUAUCGGGAGGAACACCUGAGGCGAAGGCGGGCUACUGGGCCGAUACUGACGCUGAUGCGCGAAAGCCAGGGGAGUGAACGGG